UACGGAGGAUCCAAGCGUUAUCCGGAAUCAUUGGAUUUAAAGGGUCCGUAGGCGGGCCUGUAAGUCAGUGGUGAAAUCCGGCGGCCUUAACCGUCGAACUGCCAUUGAUACUGCAGGCCUUGAAUUAUUGGGAAGUAACUAGAAUAUGUAGUGUAGCGGUGAAAUGCUUAGAUAUUACAUGGAAUACCGAUUGCGAAGGCAGGUUACUAUCAAUACAUUGACGCUGAUGGACGAAAGCGUGGGGAGCGAACAGG
rnacentral:rRNA from 1 species